AACGAACGCUGGCAGCACGUUUUAAGCAUGCAAGUCGAACGGCAACAGGGGUAACCCUGUGAGAGUGGCGAACGGGUGAGUAACACGUAGGUGAUUUAACCUUGGGGUGGGGAUAGCCUGUGGAAACACAGGGUAAUACCGAAUGAGCUUAUUUGGUUAUGACCGAAUAAGGAAAGGUGCUACGGCACCGCCCGGGGAGGAGCCUGCGGCUGAUUAGCUAGUUGGUGAGGUAAAGGCCCACCAAGGCGACGAUCAGUAGCCGGCCUGAGAGGGUGUACGGCCACACUGGGACUGAGACACGGCCCAGACUCCUACGGGAGGCAGCAGCUAAGAAUCUUCCGCAAUGGGCGCAAGCCUGACGGAGCGAUGCCGCGUGAUUGAUGAAGGUCGAGAGAUUGUAAAGAUCUUUUCCGUCUGAGGAAUAAAGGUCGGAGGGAAUGCCGAUCAGAUGACGUUAAGGCGGGAAUAAGCCCCGGCUAAUUACGUGCCAGCAGCCGCGGUAACACGUAAGGGGCGAGCGUUGUUCGGAAUUAUUGGGCGUAAGGGCACGCAGGCGGUUUGAGAAGUCUGAUGUGAAAGACCUGGGCUUAACUCAGGGGACGCGUUGGAAACUGUCAAGCUAGAGUAUUAGAGGGGGAGUCGGAAUUCCUAGUGUAGGGGUGAAAUCUGUUGAUAUUAGGAAGAACACCGGUGGCGAAGGCGGACUCCUGGCUGAAUACUGACGCUGAGGUGCGAAAGCAUAGGGAGCAAACAGGAUUAGAUACCCUGGUAGUCUAUGCUGUAAACGAUGUGCACUUGGUGUUGGGUCGAUUAGAUUCAGUGCCGAAGCAAACGCGAUAAGUGCACCGCCUGGGGAGUAUGCCCGCAAGGGUGAAACUCAAAGGAAUUUGACGGGGGCCCGCACAAGCGGAGGAGUAUGUGGUUUAAUUCGAUGAUACGCGAGGAACCUUACCAGGGUUUGACAUACGCAGUAAUGAGUCAGCGAUGAUUCA
rnacentral:rRNA from 1 species